UCGUGUUUUUGCGUUUGGUGUAAUGAAUUGUGACUUAGUUCGCGUGCACAAAAGUGCCAGAAGAUAGCUUUUGUCUCGCUGCAUACUCGCGGUAUGCGUGGUGCGCCAGGCAAACGUGGACCAACGAUUUUCAUGCCAUGGAGUGCGUUCCCUUUGUCCGUGGUGGUUGUGGAGAGUUCGGUGGACGCCGCAAAGAAAUGAUGCGCAUUAUUAGCGUUCCGCAGGUUGUCCACUACGCAACUGCACGUAUGCGGGAAUAACUUUGCAGCUCCGGCAACUUGGAGGGCGCUUUUCGACCGCUUCGUACCAUUUAAAAGCGGCAAGGCCGUGACCAACAACAGUGUCCACGUCAGGCAAGGCCGUGACCAACAACGGUGUCCACGUCAGGGAGGAGCUAUGGCUGCAGCAGCACUGUGUGUAAUCGGAUGGUCUGGUCAGGUACAGAUUGGUGUGGGAUUUGUGAUGCCACUCAACAAGUGGCAUUACAUAUUCAAGUCUGCUUCCGACGGAAAGUGCCCAUUAGAGGUGGCAUGGCACCUGUGGACACCAGUGCAAGCAGGUGAAAGCAGCCUGACUGGACAGGCCUGCCGACCAAUGUGCCGCGCAUCUCGGAAGCUUCCGGCAACACCGGAGAAAGUGGCUGCUUUGAAAAACUGCCUGGAGAAAUACAUAAGUGACCAUCCAAUGAUGCCACCUACACCACAUCCGGACAACCACCUUGCUUCCCUGCGAAAGCGCCUUUGGAGCUUUCUUUUACACAAGCAGGAC